rnacentral:rRNA from 1 species
GACGAACGCUGGCGGCGUGCUUAACACAUGCAAGUCGAACGAUGAUGCCAGCUUGCUGGUGGAUUAGUGGCGAACGGGUGAGUAACACGUGAGCAACCUGCCCCUGACUUCGGGAUAACCGCGGGAAACCGUGGCUAAUACCGGAUAUGACGCGCUAUCGCAUGGUGGUGUGUGGAAAGAUUUAUCGGUUGGGGAUGGGCUCGCGGCCUAUCAGCUUGUUGGUGGGGUGAUGGCCUACCAAGGCGACGACGGGUAGCCGGCCUGAGAGGGUGACCGGCCACACUGGGACUGAGACACGGCCCAGACUCCUACGGGAGGCGGCAGUGGGGAAUAUUGCACAAUGGGCGCAAGCCUGAUGCAGCGACGCCGCGUGAGGGAUGACGGCCUUCGGGUUGUAAACCUCUUUCAGUAGGGAAGAAGGCCUUCGGGUUGACGGUACCUGCAGAAGAAGCGCCGGCUAACUACGU